CCUGGUGGCUCAGAUGGUAAAGAAUCUGCCUGCAAUGCAGGAAACCCAGGUUCAAUUCCUGGGUCAGGA
rnacentral:tRNA from 1 species